GGAAGUAUGGGUGAAUUGGUGAAAUCAGCUCUUUGCUAAAGAGCCGAACGGUAAAACGUUCUGGGGGUUCGAGUCCCUCUGCUUCCGCGA
rnacentral:tRNA from 1 species